AGUGAACGCUGGCGGUAGGCCUAACACAUGCAAGUCGAACGGCAGCACAGUAAGAGCUUGCUCUUACGGGUGGCGAGUGGCGGACGGGUGAGGAAUACAUCGGAAUCUACUUUUUCGUGGGGGAUAACGUAGGGAAACUUACGCUAAUACCGCAUACGACCUACGGGUGAAAGCAGGGGAUCUUCGGACCUUGCGCGAUUGAAUGAGCCGAUGUCGGAUUAGCUAGUUGGCGGGGUAAAGGCCCACCAAGGCGACGAUCCGUAGCUGGUCUGAGAGGAUGAUCAGCCACACUGGAACUGAGACACGGUCCAGACUCCUACGGGAGGCAGCAGUGGGGAAUAUUGGACAAUGGGCGCAAGCCUGAUCCAGCCAUACUGCGUGGGUGAAGAAGGCCUUCGGGUUGUAAAGCCCUUUUGUUGGGAAAGAAAAGCAGCAGGUUAAUACCCCGCUGUUCUGACGGUACCGAAAGAAUAAGCACCGGCUAACUUCGUG
rnacentral:rRNA from 1 species